rnacentral:rRNA from 1 species
CCUACGGGAGGCAGCAGUGGGGAAUAUUGGACAAUGGGGGCAACCCUGAUCCAGCCAUGCCGCGUGUGUGAAGAAGGCCCUCGGGUUGUAAAGCACUUUCAGUGAGGAAGAACGCCUGGUGGUUAAUACCCAUCAGGAAAGACAUCACUCACAGAAGAAGCACCGGCUAACUCCGUGCCAGCAGCCGCGGUAAUACGGAGGGUGCGAGCGUUAAUCGGAAUUACUGGGCGUAAAGCGCGCGUAGGUGGCUUGAUCAGCCGGUUGUGAAAGCCCCGGGCUCAACCUGGGAACGGCAUCCGGAACUGUCAAGCUAGAGUGCAGGAGAGGAAGGUAGAAUUCCCGGUGUAGCGGUGAAAGGCGUAGAGAUCCGGAGGAAUACCAGUGGCGAAGGCGGCCUUCUGGACUGACACUGACACUGAGGUGCGAAAGCGUGGGUAGCAAACAGGAUUAGAUACCCGGGUAGUC